rnacentral:rRNA from 1 species
AUACGAAGGGGGCUAGCGUUGCUCGGAAUCACUGGGCGUAAAGGGUGCGUAGGCGGGUUUUUAAGUCAGGGGUGAACUCCUGGAGCUCAACUCCAGAACUGCCUUUGAUACUGAAGAUCUUGAGUCCGGGAGAGGUGAGUGGAACUGCGAGUGUAGAGGUGAAAUUCGUAGAUAUUCGCAAGAACACCAGUGGCGAAGGCGGCUCACUGGCCCGCGACGGACGCUGAGGCACGAAUGCGGGGGCAGCAACCGGGAUUAGAUCCCCUGUUUGCCAACGCCGUAAAGGAUGAAUGCCAGCCGUUAGUGGGUUUACUCACUAGUGGCGCAGCUAACGCUAUAAGCAUUCAGCCUGGGGAGUACGGUCGCAAGAUUAAAACUCAAAUGAAUUGGCGGGG